AACGGUCUAUACCUGCGGUACCUGCGGAGGGAUCAUUAGUGAACGCCCUCACGGGCUUAUAACUACUCCAAACCUCUGUGAACCGUGCCCUUCGGGGCUAUUUUACAAACAUGGUGUAAUGAACGUCAUAUAUCAUAACAAAACAAAACUUUCAACAAUGGAUCUCU
rnacentral:misc_RNA from 1 species